rnacentral:lncRNA from 1 species
AGAGGUUGGAUCGCCAUCUGAUAUGGAUGCUUUAGCUGACAUUCCUGCAUUGCAGGGGUUUGGAAUAGUUGGCCCUUGGGUCCCUUCCAACUCUACGAUUCAAAGAUGUGCACCAUGCUCCAUAACUCUGGAGGAAAGGUCUGUGAUGCUACAAAAUUCUACCCAAUCAUUGUUUUGAAAUAGGGGCAUUUGGAUACAAGGGAAGGGUUUAGCACUAGACUGUUCAUCCCGUGACUAGUGAGGAGACAGUGUUUAUUGGCUUUUCAAUACCUUAUAGGCUUUUGCUCCCUGGAAUCUAGAGGAAACUUGACAUCCUGGACACUAGCCAUUCAGUUUGAGCUCUAUGAAAACUGCUUUGAAAUUGAUCUGUAAUGGUAAGUGGUAUGGAAACAUAUUUAUUGAAAUAGAAAUAAAUAAUCAGGGAUAGAAGAAAGGGGGGAGGAAACAUGAAGCUUCUUAGGAAGCAGGCAGUGGGGAGAAACGCUUAUUUGUGAGAGUGGUUCAUACCUGAGCUAUUUUUCCAUACGGAAAAAGUUAUACAUUUUGAGUCAACCAUUGGAAAUUGCAAGUAUACUGCUGAGUUGGCUCUGACUGAGCAUCCUUUUCACAUCAGGCAGCAGAGUUUGGGUUUCUAAAGUUUUAGGGUGGUAUUCAGCUAAGGCUUACUUGGAAUAGACUCACUGUCAUUGGGUCCAUUAAUUUCAGUGGGUCUACUCUGAAAUAAAGGGACGCAGGUGGCGCUGUGGUCUAAACCACAGAGCCUAGGGCUUGCCGAUCAGAAGGUCGGUGGUUCGAAUCCCCACGACGGGGUGAGCUCCUGUUGUUCGGUCCCUGCUCCUGCCAACCUGGCAGUUCAAAAGCACGUCAAAGUGCAAGUAGAUAAAUGGGUACCGCUCCAGCGGGAAGGUAAACGGCAUUUCCGUGUGCUGCUCUGGUUCUCCAGAAGUGGCUUAGUCAUGCUGGCCACAUGACCCAGAAGCUGUCUGCGGACAAACGCUGGCUCCCUCGGCCUAUAGAGCGAGAUGAGCGCACAACCCCAGAGUCGUCCGCGACUGGACCUAAUGGUCAGGGGUACCUUUACCUUUAUUCUGAAUAAAACAUAUUUAAAGACCAUCCUUAUUCCCCAUCUACUUAGUACUCUGACAUUCUCCAGACCACCAUUUUGUCAAGCCUCCCUCAGUCUACAGUUCACACUGGCUUUGUCUUCAUCUGCCUUUGCUUCAGCUCCCAUCUCUAGCUAAAAAUAAGCUUGAGUCUGUGCACCUGCAUUCACAUUUGCUGAUAUUCAUCCUUGUUACCUUUGCCUCCUUUUCACAAUCACCUACCCCAUUGUUGCAAGGUAGAUUUUAAAAGCUUUAAGGCAUAUAUAUAUCUCAUUCCCCAACCUCUUCUGAUGGCCCUAAACUUUUAAAUCAUUCCUAAAUAUAAAACAACUUUUAAAUAAUUCAUUUUAGUAUUAUUGCAAUGUGGAACGGUACCUUUUUCUCUACAGUUUAGUUGUCAAGUUUGUUUGCAGGCUAUGGGUGAAUAAAUGAAUAUAGGCAUCUCUUGAUUAAACAUCGAUUUGCAUUGAUCUUUAUUCAAAUGGAUUGAAAGAAACCUCCUCAAAAUUGAACUAUUCUGCCAGAGAACACCCUAUUUACUUCAAGUUCUAAAGUGUGUGCAUGUAUACAGGCCCAGAAAACCUUUUUUUUUAUCGUUUCAUAUUUUACCUUCAAUUGUAGGCGUUUUGAAGAAUGCAUACCAGAAUACGUACCUAUCACUUACUAAUUAUGUUAUUAUUAAUGAAGCAAAUGGCUAAGUUACAAGACUUAUAUGUGGGCUAACUUUGUUCAGUUUGUUUUCUUUUGGUCUAAAAUACUGAAUAGUUAUGGAGGAUAAUAUGCUGGAGAGACUCUUUAAAAUUGUAAAAGUUGGUUUCUGUUUUAUACAGACCCCAGGUAUGUAGACUCAUGUAGGUAGGAUAGGGCAUUGGGGCAAGUGUCCAGCUUUAACCUGGAUGUUCACAUACACACAAGUGUACACAAGGACGUACCCACCUUUUGAGCUGCUGUGAGCAGGGGAGUUGUGUAUGGAGGAGACAUACAUGUUUCCUACAUGCACAGAUGGUGUUGAAUUCAGGCACACUGAACUUUUUGCUUGAGCACUUGUACUUCCCCUUCCUCCAGUGUGAGAGCCAGUGUGGUGUAGUGGUUAAGAGCGGUGGACUCGUAAUCUGGUGAACUGGGUUCACUUCUCCGCUCCUCCACAUGCAGCUGCUGGGCGACCUUGGGCUUGUCACACUUCUUUGAAGUCUCUCAGCCUCACUCACCUCACAGAGUGUUUGUUGUGGUGGAGGAAGGGAAAGGAGAAUGCUAGCUGCUUUGAGACUCCUUGGGGUAAGUGAUAAAGCGGGAUAUAAAAUCCAAACUCUUCUUCUUCUUCUCCUUAUCAUAUGAGAAAACCUGCUGCAGGCCUUCAUUAAGAGCCUUUUCAGGGAACCUUAUAGAACUUUGUUAACAAAGUUACCAAUGCUUAUGUGGAAUUCAGUACGCAACCUUUUACAGACACCCACGAUCCUUUUUUGUGGUGGAAGGAUUGGACAAGCAGGGCAAGUGUGUGUGUGUGUGUGUGUGUGUGUGUGUGUGUGUGUGCAUGCAUAUAUAAAACUUGCUACAUUUUUUUCAAAUGGUUCUAUAUUGACCCUUCAGUUAGCUGGUCUUCUACACUCACCACUAUCAAGCUACCUCGUGUUCAACUCGCGUCUGAUCUUGUAAGUGCUAGUUUUACUCUGAGCCCAUAAAACUGUAUUUUCUAUAUGGCCUUCUUUGUGCUUCUUUACAGCCAGUGGUGUCCUAUUCUAGUGUAUUCUACAGUUGCCAUAUUUCAAAAGGUGGAAACCUGGACUCAACACUUGUAGAGCUUUUUGCAAUAUCUCC